rnacentral:rRNA from 1 species
UUGAACGCUGGCGGCAUGCCUUACACAUGCAAGUCGAACGGUAACAGGUCUUCGGAUGCUGACGAGUGGCGAACGGGUGAGUAAUACAUCGGAACGUGCCCGAUCGUGGGGGAUAACGAGGCGAAAGCUUUGCUAAUACCGCAUACGAUCUACGGAUGAAAGCGGGGGAUCUUCGGACCUCGCGCGGACGGAGCGGCCGAUGGCAGAUUAGGUAGUUGGUGGGAUAAAAGCUUACCAAGCCGACGAUCUGUAGCUGGUCUGAGAGGAUGAUCAGCCACACUGGGACUGAGACACGGCCCAGACUCCUACGGGAGGCAGCAGUGGGGAAUUUUGGACAAUAGGCGAAAGCCUGAUCCAGCCAUGCCGCGUGCAGGAUGAAGGCCUUCGGGUUGUAAACUGCUUUUGUACGGAACGAAAAGCCUCUUUCUAAUAAAGAGGGGUCAUGACGGUACCGUAAGAAUAAGCACCGGCUAACUACGUG